UACGGAGGGCGCGAGCGUUAAUCGGAAUUACUGGGCGUAAAGCGCGCGUAGGCGGCUUGUCACGCCGGAUGUGAAAUCCCCGGGCUCAACCUGGGAACUGCAUCCGGAACUGUCAGGCUAGAGUGCAGGAGAGGAAGGUAGAAUUCCCGGUGUAGCGGUGAAAUGCGUAGAGAUCGGGAGGAAUACCAGUGGCGAAGGCGGCCUUCUGGACUGACACUGACACUGAGGUGCGAAAGCGUGGGUAGCAAACAGG
rnacentral:misc_RNA from 1 species